UCAAUAUGGAUAUAUAUUCCACGGAUUAACAAAUUUCAAUCCAGAAAGAUUCAUCUAGCAGAAAUUCUAUUGCAUUAACAUAAGUCUAACGACUCUCUCUUUGAUGAAGAGGGAAAGCUGAGCCCGGCCAAGUGGAGAAGUGAGACCAGGGAAUGCUGGAAAUAACAACAGGGUCACCACUCGACACCACAGCAGCCCCAGAGCCCGCGUCAAGGAGGAAGGAUGGUUUGAAAGGAAGUUUGGAAACAGAAUGGAAACUGUCAGAUUUAUUUGCCCUGAAGAGAAAGGGAUUGAGUUCAGGAAGGAUGAGAGGAAAUGAGGCUAAAACUGGAAGGAGAAGAAUCUUCAGGCAGUGAAGAAGACAACUUGCAAACAGCCAAACUUUCUGCAGCCACCUGCAGGCUGAAGAAAAAGCUCUGCAUGCAGUUUGCAACAGAAACUGAGCACGCAGCCAUUCCUGGAACCAACAGUUGUGUUCGGG
rnacentral:lncRNA from 1 species